rnacentral:pre_miRNA from 7 species
UUUUAUUUGCACACCCAGCUACUGAAAGACCCCUGGAGGGAGACCCUCACUCAAGUCUCAGGAUAAUAGCGGACCCCCAAGAACUCAUGAGAGA